AUCCAGCUGACGAGUCCCAAAUAGGACUUGGUGCGCGUCCUGGAU
rfam:Schistosoma rodhaini strain Burundi genome assembly, scaffold: SROB_scaffold0002225